UAUUUGUUUUAAAACUAUGGAAUAAAAUAUCUGAGGAAGAUUUCUCUCAAAAUUGUUUUUCUCAAUUUCAAGAAGAUGAAUAAAAAGGAAUGUUACCUCAGAGGAAAGCAAGAUAUGCUUCUCAGUUUUUCAUCAAUUGAGUUGUAAAACUUGAACACGGAAGUAUUUUUCCUCUGAUAAAGAACACUCUAAAUCACUUAAAUGCAAUUGGAAACCUGAUCCUACACAUACAUGUGUACACAGAGCAAGAAAAGUGAAAAUGC
rnacentral:lncRNA from 1 species